rnacentral:rRNA from 1 species
GACGAACUGUCCUAACGUUGUUCGGAAUCACUGGGCUUAAAGGGCGCGUAGGCGGUCCGACAAGUCGGGGGUGAAAUCCUGCAGCUUAACUGCAGAAGUGCCUUCGAUACUGUCGGUCUUGAGGGAGAUAGGGGUGUGCGGAACUUCCAGUGGAGCGGUGAAAUGCGUUGAUAUUGGAAGGAACGCCGGAGGCGAAAGCGGCGCACUGGAUCUCUUCUGACGCUGAUGCGCGAAAGCUAGGGGAGCAAACGGG